CGCACCUUGCGCUCCUUGGUAUUCCGAGGAGCAUGCCUGUUUGAGUGUCAUGAAAUUCUCAAACCCAUAAGUCUUCGCGGGCUUAAAAGGGGCUUUGGACUUGGAGGCUUGUCGGCGUACUGCAAAGUCAUCGACUCCUCUCAAAUGUAUUAGCUUGAUUCCUUGCGGAUCGGCUAUCGGUGUGAUAAUUGUCUACGCCGUUGGUCGUGAAGCGUUUACGGCGAGCUUCUAAUCGUCUCUGAUUCGGAGACAGCUUUACAUUGACCUCUGACCUCAAAUCAGGUAGGACUACCCGCUGAACUUAA
rnacentral:misc_RNA from 1 species